AACAACAGAAAUAAGCUGCCAUGUUGACUACGGCGCUCGCUGAUGACGACACGGCGUAGCUUUGGGAGUAGAGCGCAGAAUGAUGACGACACACAGCGUUCAGCCCAGAUUAAAUAUCAGUGAUAAGAAGUGAGUCAGCUCAUUUGACUCAGCUCAACAAGAAGAGUCGACUCUUUUGGCUCCCAAAAAUGGAUCAUUACUGUUUUCUCCUAAUCCGAAGAAAAUUUGCGAUAUUUUCGGCAGACAAAACGUGUUUUUCAGAUAAAAGAUGACAUACAGGACGUAAGUCACAUUUCAGGAACAUUUCAGAAGAAGAAGACACUCUGGACAGAGGAAGAAACGAAAGAUUUAUUUGAUUUAAUUAACGAAAGCAUCAAACGACACCGCGAUUCAAUCGCUUACUGAAGAUGAAUCAAUUCAUGCUAAUGAACAUCUUAGACGUUGCAAAGAGCUUUCUAUGCAACUAUUGUGAUUAAAUUACACUACAGGAGGAACGGAAAUGCAUACAUCUACAAAUAAAAGAAGAAGAAAAUUAAAAAAAAAAAAAAAACCUGCUCAUUAUCAGCGAGUCGACUCUCAAGAGCCGACUCCUUAGCAAACGACACAUCAUUGAUUCAAAUCAACGGCAAGACCAGGCGACCGUUAAAAUUUGAAGAGCAGCUCGUCAGAAGGCUUUAAGUGAGAUUUGUCAGCUGCACCUUCAUGCUGUGACUCUUCCAUUCUGCCACAUCCCAAAGGUGCUCUACUAGAUUCAGUUCUGGUGACUGGAGUGGCUACUGAAGAACACUGAUCUCUUCGUCAUAUUCAUGGAUUCAGUUAGAGACAACUUCUGCUUUGUCACAGGGCUGGAUGUAGCCAUUACAAGAUGUGGCCAUAAAGAGAUGCACGUGGUCAGCAACAAUACUCAGAAGGACUGAUGCUCGAUAAAGCAUUAAGGGGCCCAGUGUGUACCAAGAAAACAUUCUCCACACCGUUAUACCACCACCAGAAGCUUGAAGUGUUGACACAAGGCAGGAUGGAUUCAUAGAUUCAUGUUGCAGACACCCAAUUCUGACCUUGCCUUCUGCAUGUUGCAGCAGAAACCAAAGUUCUUCAGACCAGGCAACAUUUUUUCAGUCUUCAUCUCUGUCCACUGUACAGUCAGAUUUCUGUAUUUGGCUGACAGAUGUGGAACCUGAUGUGGUCUUCUGCUGUUGUAGCUCAUCCACCCCCAAGUUUGACAUGUUCAGCAUUCUGAGGUGCUUUUCUGCUUACCAUGGUUGUAAAGAGUAGUUAUUUGAGUUCCCGUAACCUUCCCGUGUGGCCGUUCUCCCCUGACCUCUCUCAUCAACAAGGUGCUUCCACCCACAAAUCUGAUGCUCACUGUAGAGACUGUUGUGUGUGAAAAUCCAAGGAGAUCAGCAGUAUCUGAAAUACUCAAACCAGACCAUCUGGCACCAACAACCAUUCCAAGGUCAAAGCCACUGAGAUCACAUUUUUUACCCAUUUUUUUAGCUCUUGACCUUUAUUUGCAUGAUUUUAUGCAUCGCGCUGCCACCACAAGAAGGCUUAUAAGAUAAAUGCAUAAACGAGCAGGUAUUCAGUCCCCUCUUUUGCAAAACUCUGCCUCAUGUAUUUUACUGAGCAUUCAGAUUGAACCUUCAUACUUAACUUAACUUACAAUGUGGGGUGUUUUUUUUUUUUUUUUUUUUUUUUUUUUGUGGUGGUGGUUGUUUUAAAAGACAACAUCCUACAACAUCACUCUCUUUGUGUGGCUUUGUGGUAAGAGCCUUGCCUCUCAACUUGGAGGUUGCUGGUUCAAAUCUGGCUUGUCCCCUGCAGACACGCUACAUGUUGGGUGGUGAAGCAGGUGAUUAAGAUGAAAUGGUGGCUAGAGUGCAUGGUGUUUGAGGACCCCAAGGAAAGUGUGGGUGAUAGGUAAUUUUA